rnacentral:rRNA from 1 species
GACGAACGCUGGCGGCGUGCUUAACACAUGCAAGUCGAACGAUGAAACCUAGCUUGCUAGGUCGAUUAGUGGCGAACGGGUGAGUAACACGUGACUAACCUGCCCCUUUCUCUGGGAUAACGCUCCGAAAGGAGUGCUAAUACCGGAUACUCACAUCGAGGCACAUGCCUUGGCGUGGAAAGUUUUUCGGAAAGGGAUGGAGUCGCGGCCUAUCAGCUUGUUGGUGAGGUAACGGCUCACCAAGGCGACGACGGGUAGCCGGCCUGAGAGGGCGACCGGCCAAACUGGGACUGAGACACGGCCCAGACUCCUACGGGAGGCAGCAGUGGGGAAUAUUGCACAAUGGGCGCAAGCCUGAUGCGGCGACGCCGCGUGAGGGAUGAAGGUCUUCGGAUUGUAAACCUCUUUCAGUAGGGACGAAGCGAAAGUGACGGUACCUAAAGAAGAAGCACCGGCUAACUACGUGCCAGCCGCCGCGGUAA